UCUACGGGAGGCAGCAGUGGGGAAUAUUGCACAAUGGGGGAAACCCUGAUGCAGCGACGCCGCGUGAGCGAUGAAGGAUUUCGGUAUGUAAAGCUCUAUCAGCAGGGAAGAAAAUGACGGUACCUGACUAAUAAGCCCCGGCUAACUCCGUGCCAGCAGCCGCGGUAAUACGGAGGGGGCAAGCGUUACCCGGAUUUACUGGGCGUAAAGGGAGCGUAGACGGGGGAGCAAGCCAGAUGUGAAAGCCCAGGGCUCAACCCCGGGACUGCAUUUGGAACUGUGCUGCUAGAGUGUGGGAGAGGCAGGCGGAAUUCCUGGUGUAGCGGUAAAAUGCGUAGAUAUUAGGAGGAACACCAGUGGCGAAGGCGGCCUGCUGGACGAUGACUGACGUUGAGGCUCGAAAGCGUGGGGAGCAAACAGGAUUAGAUACCCCUGUAGUC
rnacentral:rRNA from 1 species